GUGAUCACAAGCACACAUUGGCCUUCAAAGUGUCAGAAAUUGAUUAGGGAUGUCACACAUGUUAAGGUUUAAAAAUAAUGUGAAGGUUACACAGGAAUCGCGUGACAAGACAAAAAUUCAGACGGGCCUCAGUGAAAGGUUGUUGAACUGCACUUGUAUCACGCAUAUUUCCUAACCUUGGUUUUUGUAUCUGCCGUAUCCUCCGAUGGAACUUUGCCCUAUCGCAAGUGAGUCGCUCCAGUGCGUUUAACCACAGGGGGAACAGAGUUAUGAUGUUAGACCAACCAAGCGUGCACGGUAAUGUCUGCUCCACCAUCACAAUAUUUUGACUUCCCCUCAUCGUUCAUAUGCGCAGCGACACUGUCACUGUGCCCCUCUGGCGGGCCCAGUCAUCACAAAGCACUGCUGUGCACUGUCCCAGAGAAACCAUUGCACUGGAACCUCGAGAGAUAAUACUCCCAAAGAACGAUGAAAUCACAUCAAAUGCCCAAAAAGCCUUCCACCUACUUGGACAAACAACAAUAUUGUUUGUCCACAUGAAUACAGAAAAAAAUGUUUUUUAUACUAUGUCAUCAUGAUUCACAAAUAAAAAAACUUUUUCAGACCCUGUAACGUGUAAAUGCAUUAUUAUGCGUCAUUCAACAUGCUGCAAUUUCGGACAUCCCAGUCUUGCCUGCCACUGAGCGUGAUACUGAAGACCCCCAAAGCAGUGUUUUACUUUCACUCCAUUAUCUCUGAGGUCCCAAAAUAUGUUUGAUGUUGAGUCGUUAAUGUUGCAGAAAUCCACAGGACUCCUGCAGUGUAAUUGAACACAAACAUAAAGCUUAAGCAGGCCAUUUAGUAACCGGACACUAACAGCAAACAUCAGGACAGAACCCUUUCUGGCAGACCACAGUCUCAGAUGGUGAACAUUUUGCAAGGGAACGGCAAAUUAUUUUCACAUUUGAAAUGUAGCUGUUCGUCACUGACACAGUUACAAACUUGAGAGACCACUUUCUUUUCAACGUGAUUGAAUAAAUCCUUUAUUUCAAAGGACAAAGUAAAAUAUUUCGAACAAGCAGUCAAAAGACAUGGGUCAAAAAUGUUUUGUUACCAUACACAUGUAUUAUAUCCUGUAGGCCCGUUGCUAGCGUGGCUAAGCAAAUCACAGAAUGAACGUUCCUCCAAACAUUUGACCUAUAUCAUCACAGGUCUCAGUAGUAUGGCACUGUUAUCAGACUGAUGCAAGAUUCAAGCUGUUUUGUGAUGGGAGAGUAGCAUUUACAAUGCACAAUAAAAAUCCAGGUACCUCAAUAAGCAGCAGUGGGUUGAGAAAUAGUGUUUAAAAGGAGUGAAAAGACGUCGAUCAAUGUACAGGUACCUGUGUUUCUUAGUACAUAAUUUGUUAGCUUUUCUGCACACAUUUGAUUUUUUGGACAUUUCUAACAGGUCAUAUGAAAUCAAGAUAAAUAUUUCAAACAAUUCUGUUGUAGAAAAGAAAGGAAACCAGAAAUGAACUAUUUCUGUACUCGUGUGUCACAUUUCAACAGUUAAUAUAAUAUGGAUCACAUUAAUUGUAAUACUAAUGACAUAAUUGUUAUAACUAGGCUAAAUGAAAAUCUCUUUCAGCAUGUUUAUGACGAAAUAGCUCUAUUUUUGUGUAAUUUUCCCAAAUGCUUGCUAUGUACAUGAAACAUUCAAAACUGUAUCUGUAGCAGAAAAAGCGUAUUUUCAUGGUGUGCGUUUUAAAUAUCUGUACUCACAUUUGGUUUUGUGAUUGUCUCGUCAUAUAUAUGCCUACUUGCAGUUCCUGACUUGAAAUAAACGUAAUUGUACCAUUAUGUAAAGAGAAAAUGAGAAUACUUGAAAGAAACAUAUAGGUAGUAGAGUGCCCCAGUAGAAUGACUUUACUCCCAAAAUAAACAAGCAAGGAAUUCAUUUGGACCAAUUUUCAUUUUGAACAAAAGAGAUUCACACAAAGGUAAUUCUUCCCGCAAUGAUGUGAUUUACAAACAAAUUAAAAACUUGUUGUCAUGUAGACAUUAAUAAAUAUUGAAAAUGUAAAUCAAGUGAUUCAAGUUUGACAGUCACAGUAAAAUAUUAGCACCGUAAACAAAAUAAAAAUCCAGAGGUACCAGAUCAACAAGUCCAACAAAAAAGUUACCUCAAGUGGGAGAAAAAAUAUAUAUCUAUGCUAUCAAUCAUCUAGGAGGGAUUUCGCUAUAACAAUGUAAAAUUGUUGUCUGAAUGCCACCUCAGAACACCACUAACUAACUGCUAAAGACUUCAUAAACAGUUGCCUCGGGGAAAUUAUGCAACGUGUUUCUUCAAAACCUUAACUGAAUUCCUAACAGUGGUAAUGAGGUUGAGGGGGGCUUGAAAUAAAGUGCAGUGUAUUUCUAGCCAUAAUUUCACCGUGCUGUAUCAUUCCUACUUCUGACAUACGUGACUUAAUCUCAUCAUUCUUUGUACAACAAAGACUCAUCCAACUCUUGAAAAAAAAAGUUACAUUCCUGUUUCAUGACUCAAAAUACUAGGGCUGCUGAUGUCACGUCGCAAAAAAACAAGAAAUAAACAAAAAUUAAAUUAAGAAAAAAUCUCAGGGUGGUGGAGGGCAAGGACUCUGGAAGCACACUGAAAAGAACGGACAUAAUUCUCGUCUCUGGUCCUCAAAAUGGUGGCAACCUGACCCAUGCUCUGACUGCAUUGUUGUAAACAAAGGACUUAAAUGAUAAUGUUAUGUACAAUGUAAAAUAUUACUCUUUUUCUCUCCUGUAGACAGACACACACACACACACACACACACACACACACACACACACACACACACACACACACACACACACACACACACACACACACACACACACAGCUGAACAGACAUACACACAGCUGAACAGACAUACACACA